CCUACGGGAGGCAGCAGUGAGGAAUAUUGGUCAAUGGUCGGGAGACUGAACCAGCCAAGCCGCGGGAGGGAUGAAGGUACAGAGUAUCGUAAACCUCUUUUGUCAGGGAACAAAGGCGGGGACGUGUCCCCGGAUGAGUGUACCUGAAGAAAAAGCAUCGGCUAACUCCGUGCCAGCAGCCGCGGUAAUACGGAGGAUGCGAGCGUUAUCCGGAUUUAUUGGGUUUAAAGGGUGCGCAGGCGGUCUGUUAAGUCAGCGGUCAAAGCCCGGGGCUUAACCCCGUGCCUGCCUCUGAUACUGUUCGACUAGAGAGCGGGUGCAGCAGGCGGAAUGAGUAGUGUAGCGGUGAAAUGCUUAGAUAUUACUCAGAACACCGAUUGCGCAGGCAGCUUGCUAAUCCGCAUCUGACGCUGAUGCACGAAAGCGUGGGUAGCGAACAGGAUUAGAUACCCGAGUAGUC
rnacentral:rRNA from 1 species